CGCUAAUAAGCGCAAAAAAAUUUUGAAGCGAUUUUCAAAUAGGCUUUGAAAUGUGUACUUAAAGGUAAAAAAUGGUGUUUAAAAACUAUGGCAAAUUUAAUUUGACAAUAUAACAAAAAUUGCACAAUAGUAGAUUGCUCCUUCCAUAUCGAAGCAUCUCUUUCUAAUAACCAAGACCAAACUUUAUCUAAUUGACCUUGUACCAUUGAAAUUCAUGUUUAAAAGAUAUACAAACGAUUUUAAUAGGAAUAUUAUCAAUGUUGAAUGUAAUCACCUGGUGCUCAAACUCCUCAGGGACGUGGGAUAUGGAGAUGAUAAAUUUUGCACAACAUUAAUCGAAACAGUGCGAAAACACAUGAGAAGUUGAAUAAUUGUAUUAUUAGCCCUUAACUUCUUAGGGUAGCCGUUUAAAUGUCAUUCAUCCUAAACUGAAAAAAAAAAUGUGACAUUGAUGAAAUAUAGUUUUCCACACGCAAUUUAUGUAAAAUAAUCAUAUACAUUUAUAAAAAUCAGAAAGCAAUUAUUAAAAGGAAACAAUUG